GCCAGGUGUGGUGGCGCACACCUGUAGUCCCAGCUACUCAGGAGGCUGAGGCAGGAGAAUCACUUGGGCCUAGGAGGUCGAGGCUGCAGUGAGCUAUGACUGCGCCACUGCACUCCAGCCUGGACAACAGAGCAAAAUCUUGUCUCAA
ensembl:misc_RNA Metazoa_SRP Metazoan signal recognition particle RNA